rnacentral:tRNA from 1 species
GGGGAUAUAGCUCAGUUGGUAGAGUGCUUGCCUUGCCUGCACACAGCCCUGGGAUCAAUCCCCAGCAUCACACCCA